rnacentral:rRNA from 1 species
AGCUAACGUUGGCGGCGUGCCUAACACAUGCAAGUCGAACGCGCCGGAGCAAUCCGGUGAGUGGCGAACGGGUGAGUAACACGUGGGUCAUCUCCCCUCGAGUGAGGAAUAAGCCACCGAAAGGUGGUCUAAUACUGCAUAACGUCCCGGGGCAUAAGCCCUUGGACCAAAGCCGCAAGGCGCUUGAGGAUGAGCCUGCGUCCUAUUAGCUAGUUGGUAGGGGAAUGGCCUACCAAGGCGAAGAUGGGUAGCCGGCCUGAGAGGGUGAACGGCCACACUGGGACUGAGACACGGCCCAGACUCCUACGGGAGGCAGCAGUGAGGAAUUUUGCGCAAUGGGGGAAACCCUGACGCAGCGACGCCGCGUGGAGGAUGAAGGCCUUCGGGUCGUAACCUCCUGUCAGAGGUGAAGAAUACCCGCAAGGGUUUGACGGUAACCUCAAAGGAAGCCCCGGCUAACUACGUGCCAGCCGCCGCGGUAACAC